GACAGAGGGUGCAAACGUUGUUCGGAAUUACUGGGCGUAAAGCGCGUGUAGGCGGCCAUGCAAGUCGGGUGUGAAAUCCCACGGCUCAACCGUGGAAGUGCACUCGAAACUACGUGGCUGGAGUUCUGGAGAGGAAGGUGGAAUGCUCGGUGUAGAGGUGAAAUUCGUAGAUAUCGAGUGGAACACCGGUGGCGAAGGCGGCCUUCUGGACAGAAACUGACGCUGAGACGCGAAAGCGUGGGGAGCAAACAGG
rnacentral:rRNA from 1 species